AUGCCGCCCUCUGGAAGUCGCGGACGCCACGGCCGGCCCAGCCUACCUGCGGAGCAGCGUCAGGAUCAAUUUGCCCGGGACGGCGCACCACAGACCCGUGCCAUGGGCAGGCCGUUAUGGGGAGUCUCUGCGUCUGGCCGCGCCGGCCACGCCUGCGGCAGCGCCGACCAUAUGCCUUCCCGCCCUGGCCGCUCCGAAGGACGCUCCCGCCGUCGGCUGGGCUCUGCACCGUGUCAGGAACAUGGACCUGCACAGUUGCGACGAGAACCAUCUGUCUCGCACUUAAAUAAGUUGCUGAGCACUACAACAUUUAUGGAAUCCUCGACUCUUGGGUCGCCAAUUCUGGCUCGGACACCUACUGAUUGGCCGAUGACCUUCUAUAUCAGAAUUGAUCGCAGGGGGUCUUUCCAUACAUAUCCUCAUGUGGGUGGGCCAUUUAGGAAAUUGCAAGAAGUUCACGAUGCUAUUGAACGCUAUCUUGAGGACCGCCGGCAUCCAACAAUGUUCAAGGAGCAAGAUGGGGUUUCUCUAAUGGACAUUGCUAUACGAGAGGCUAUGUACUGGCCUGAUGGCAGUAGGAGGAACGGCCCAAAAUCACAAAUGAUCGAAGAAAGCCAUAGUGAAAUGCGUUUAUUAGUUCAAGCUUUAGUGGACAAGUAUAAUGAUGAUCACAACCGUUUUGGGGAUCUAGCACAUGAACUGAAAGAUGUUAUGAAGUACCAAUAUAUCUCCGAGGGCCAGGGGUACUAUCAUUUCAAUUUCACUACGAAGACUAAAAGAGCUGAUGCUUUUGGAUGUGGCACCAACAAUCUAUUCUUUGUCGAAGUCGAAGUCAAAUUUGUGAAUGAAGAAGAUGAAAAAUUGGUUGUCAGCUGUUUCUGUAUGGUUAAACCUAAUGAUAAUGGCCACUGCUAUGGUUGUGUAAAUAAUGGAAGUAUUCGUAUGAAGCACCCCAACAAUGCUGCUGCAUACACUGCUGGUCACUUGGAAUUGCCAUCUGGAUGUUGUAGUGGAGACUGGAUCGACUACGAUGAGGAUGAGAAAGCUGAGGAGGAUAACAUACGAUAUAUGUUCAAGGGCAUGGAUGAUCCAGAGUUCCUGAAGGAAUUCUUAACACUCCCGCCUGGUGCGACACCUAUUGUGUAA
rnacentral:rRNA from 1 species